UGAGCAGAUGUUCGCAGAGGUCAUGUUGUCUUUUUAUUCCAGUGUUACCUUUGUUCCUUGAGCUGUCGGAUGACCUUGUCCCAGUUAAGCAUGAAUCCUUGAGGUGUACGAGCUCAGCACUGAACACAGAGCUCUGCAAUGACAGCAGUGCCCCUCUGUGACUUGAGUGCAGCUCAGUGGUAUUUAUAUCCAGUACAUGAUUUCUUCCUAGGACCCAUCUAGAUCCAACAGCCUUUUUCUCGCACCUCACAGUCUGUCACAGGCCAAGGAUUAGGAUGAUGGUGGAAACUGAACUUUCCUCUUGGCCAGAUCCCACCAACAGCAGCAACUUUGGAAACCCAGGACUACAGUGUUGGAAAAGAGGGAUUAACUCCUCUCAGUUAACAUCUAAGAAAUCAUCAGAUAAGGAGUUUCAUAUCCUCUGUAUGGCUCAUCUUCAGGUUGUAGCUCAUCACUAGCAUGGAUCUCAACCAAAGUGCAGCUUUGGAAGAAUGAGUUGACACAGACAAGGUAACAUUCAAAAACAACAGCUAAAUUAUACUGCUGCUGGAGAAAUGUGAGCCAAAAAGAAUUCGUUUUGAUAUUCUGAUCAUAAGCUGUGAAUGCAGAGUUUGCUGGUAAGAAAAAUCUAAAAGCAAAAAGCUGAAUUUAUACUGUUUAAGGAUAUAUGAUGCCAGUGAGAGAUGAGCAGUGCAUUUGUAAGGUAGGACUUCUGGUAAAAUGUAAACUUUAUAAUCUGUUUGAAUGCAUACAGAUAGGACAUUUUUGCUCUCUUUUUAAAAAAAUUGCUGAUAGCUCUUUAAUUUUAUUGUGUAUGUGAGAUGCUUGUACACGUGUCUGAUAGAAAUGUCAGGAUCAAAGCAGCUCAUGACAUGUCACUAUAAUUUGAACUGGAGAUAAUAAGGGUUAUGCUCACUUACUGUAGAGAUGCAUUUGGCCUGGUGUUUUUGUAAUCAUUGUAUAGACAAGUCUAAAGAGUGAAAUUAUCCUAAUUGCUUUCUUUAUUGUUUGAUUUACUAGUGUUCUAAAUGAGAGAAUAGGUUAAGUCUUCUUCCUUCCCCCACCCAAGAUCUUCUUAACGUCUGC
rnacentral:lncRNA from 1 species